UUGAAAGUAGAAGAUAAAAAGUUGGAAGAUUAGAUUUGAUGGUUGUGCCAUCCCGUUAAUGUGUUGAAUUAUUUUAGCUAUGUACAUAUAUUUCUUAAAUUUUAUAUAAUUUUUUAGUCUCCACAAAUACUGCAAAUUGAUGAAAUUGUUCCACAAAAAUUUUGGUUACUAAAUUUGUUUUAAUGCCAUUGACAUAUACUGCAAAUUGCCUUGAGAUGAGCAAAGACAAAUGUAGUGUGUGGGUGACAUAAGUUCCUUUUCCACACGAUUGUCGUCUUCUUCUAGGAUGAUGGAGGUCACCUGCAGUGAUUGUGUCCUAUGCUUACCCAGUAGGACCAACACUAACCAUCCUAGCUCUCUGAAUUUCUUGGGUCUCGUAACCUGUGUCAUGAUUCUGCUAGAUAUUUUGGCGACUUUUCUGUAUGUAUACAAUGAGAGUCACGGUAUGAUCUAGAAGAGGAGAUGUGUAAUGCUCAAAGAGAGGCAGUGGAGGCAGCUCAUCAAAAAUGCAUACAGAUGCCCAGAAUUAUCCAUUUGAGAAAAGCAGCAGCAAUAGGCAGCAAUGGUGAGAGGUCUGGAGAUCACAUGGACAUUCCCAACCCAACCUAGAGGCUCAGAAACAACUCGACGGAGCAGAUUCUCAUGAUAACUGUUGGCUAGGUCUCCCAGAAAAAUCUUGGUGAUUUCAGAUCAUAACCAUCUGAUUGAUGCCUAGUUGGAUGAUUAUUUUGGCCAAUAAGCUACAUUUCAUGUUUAGCUUCUGUGAGAGGUUCAGCUUAUGGACAAGGACUUCAUGCCGCUCUUCAAGAAUAGAUCGUGUGCAGCUAGAUGGAGGUUUGAGAGUGAGGAUUCUAGUGACUGAAAAAACAUCAUUUUUGAAACGUUUAAAAAAAAAAUGAAAAAAGAAAGAAAAAAAGAAAAAAAGAA